ensembl:lncRNA CCDC54-AS1 CCDC54 antisense RNA 1
AGAGCUCUCGGAGAUCAACAAAGGUGCCGCUUUUGAAUGUGAAAGUUUUUUCAAGACUUUUCUAUUUCUUGGUUUGAAUCGUGUGCCUGUAGGGACACAUGCUACCUGCUUACUGGACAGUGACUACUUAGGAUAAGGACUCAGACACACAAGUGGAGAAGAUAAAUAGUAAUUUGGAACCAAAACUCAGGACGUCCCAGGAGAGGCUAGAUUAGGAAUUCUUUGAUUUGGGAUCACGAAAAUGAAGUAUCCAUAUUUUAACAGAAUGAUUAGUGGCAGAGGAAUCAUCUAAGAAAACUGAGAAGACUCUGCCAGAGUGAUGGGAAGAAAACUAGAUGAGAAAGCACCAUUCUGGAAGACAUGCUCCCAUGAACCAUGGAGAGAAGAGGAGAGGGAAGAAGUUAUUUGUGAUGUCAUUUGCCUGUGUCAUGGCCUGCCUUCCCUAGAUAUUGUCCUAAUGUGAGCAUCACACCUAAGGUACUGAAGUAGAGUUCUGGCUGUUCCUUACGGACAUCUCUGGUGGGGAAGUAAAUUCAACAACAGAAAUUGAGGAUGAGGAACAUGGUGUUGCAGUUCAAACCAGUUCCAGCCAAAAUGGACUCUAGUCACAAACAAAUAGUAAUAACAAUCCAAACUUGUGGCUGAAUAGAGUUCUGAAGUUUUGAGAAAGAGGUAAAGAUAUGAAAUAGUUGUCUAGGAGCAGGCAAAAAAAUGGCUUAGAGAAAUUACAAUUGCUACUUAGCACUAAGGGGCCACUUGAGAUUAGAGGUGAUACAUGAAGAGUGAGAUUUGAACUGAGUUUUAAAGAAUGUUAAGAACUUGGAUGGAGCAACAAGGGAGAGAACUUUAGACAAAGAUGAUCUGUAGACCCAAGGCCUGACAUUCUCAUCAUUAUUGUUUGCCUUAGUCUGUGUAUCCUCUAAAAGCCCAAGGCGAGCAUUUAUUUGGAAGGGGAUUUCAGGGAACACAAGUGAGGAAGUGAGUGAAAGAGAGGUGGGGUAAUGAAGAAAGCCAGUAAAGGCUUUGUUAAGCUGGCCACCACUGUGUUCAAAUGGAGCUCAUUCUCACUGGGGAUUCUCUGAGAAAAUUGAACCAUGCCUCAGAAUUAUUCCACCAGUAGGGAGGGAGAGGCGGAGGCAUUCAUCCACCAGCUAUCCCAUACCCCUUCCAUGGGUUGAGGGGUGUAUCCCCAAUAUUUUAGUUUGUUCAUGCUUGUGGCCAGCAGCUCUUGAGGCACAAGAGAAAGCCUGCAGAAAGAAAGCUUCAGCAUGGGAAAAACUGUCUUGAUUGCUCUGUCACUUCACCAAAGCAAUUUCUCCCUCAAUCUUCCCCAGUUCAGUAAAUGGCACCACAAUGUAGUCAGUAGCAGGAGCCAAAACUUAGCAGUCAUUUAUUCAACCUUUACAUUUAUUGAGUACUUAUACCAUGCCUAGCACUCAUUCAGGUGCUGGGUGCUAGCGAGCCCUAUAUGCUGAACUCCUAGAACUCCUAGAACUCCUAUAACAUCCCAAAUCAGUCCUCUUCUCUCCAAAUCCUCUUUUAUAUCUAUAAUUUGCAACGAGGAUGGCCAUUUAAAAUUGUUGCUAAAAUGAGACGAAGGGGCUGAGUCUUUGUAACCCUUGUUGAGCCACUACCAUGCUCCAUUCACAUGUCUUUUCCCCGUAUGUUUUUGUCUCUGAUCUUCCAGACCCCUGUCCAACUAGUCAAAUCAUUCACCUUGCAUAUGAGUUUCUGUAUAUUCCUGGCUUAAGCCACUUCUCCUUCUACACCCUAUGUAGAUGACCAAGUGCACUGUUUAAAGCUAUCCCCAGUGGGAGGAUUUUUCUCUCACUUCUGUCUUUCAAGGCACUGUGGGUUGAAAUAUGUCCCCUCAAUGACAUGUUGAAAUCCUUACCCUUGGUACCUAAGAAUGUGAUCUUAUUUGGAAAUAGGGCCUUUGCAGAUAUAAUUAUUAAUAUGAGUUCAUACUGGAUAACAGUAGCCGUAAUUCCAGUGUCAAAGCUUCUUAUAAAUAGAAAUUUUAGAGACACAGACAAAGGGAAAUAAGGCCAUGUGGUGGAGGCAGAGAUUGGAGUUAUGCAGCCACAAGCCAAAGAAGGCCAAGAAUUGCCAACAACUACCGGAAGCUAGAAGUGACAAGGAAGCAUUCUUCCCUAGAGCCCUUGGAGAGAUCGUGGCCCUGCAACAUCUUAAAGUUAGGACUUCCAGCUUCCAGAAAUGUGAGAGAAUAAAUU